rnacentral:rRNA from 1 species
AUACGGAGGAUCCGAGCGUUAUCCGGAUUUAUUGGGUUUAAAGGGUGCGCAGGCGGGAGAUUAAGUCGGCGGUGAAAUUUUGCAGCUCAACUGUAAAGGUGCCUUCGAAACUGGUUUCCUUGAGUGUAGAUGAAGUAGGCGGAAUUUGUGGUGUAGCGGGUAAAUGCAUAGAUAUCACGAGGAACUCCGAUUGCGCAGGCAGCUUACUAAACUACUACUGACGCUCAGGCACGAAGGCGUGGGGAUCAAACAGGAUUAGAUACCCUGGUAGUCCACGCAGUAAACGAUGAUUACUAGCUGUUUGCGAUACAAUGUAAGCGGCUGAGCGAAAGCGUUAAGUAAUCCACCUGGGGAGUACGUUCGCAAGAAUGAAACUCAAAGGAAUUGACGGGG